rnacentral:rRNA from 1 species
UUAUCCGGAUUUAUUGGGUUUAAAGGGAGCGUAGGCGGGUGCUUAAGUCAGUUGUGAAAGUUUGCGGCUCAACCGUAAAAUUGCAGUUGAUACUGGGCGCCUUGAGUGCAGCAUAGGUAGGCGGAAUUCGUGGUGUAGCGGUGAAAUGCUUAGAUAUCACGAAGAACUCCGAUUGCGAAGGCAGCUUACUGGACUGUAACUGACGCUGAUGCUCGAAAGUGUGGGUAUCAAACAGGAUUAGAUACCCUGGUAGUCCACACAGUAAACGAUGAAUACUCGCUGUUGGCGAUACACAGUCAGCGGCCAAGCGAAAGCAUUAAGUAUUCCACCUGGGGAGUACGCCGGCAACGGUGAAACUCAAAGGAAUUGACGGGGGCCCGCACAAGCGGAGGAACAUGUGGUUUAAUUCGAUGAUACGCGAGGAACCUUACCCGGGCUUAAAUUGCUGCGGAA